rnacentral:rRNA from 1 species
AUACGUAGGUGGCAAGCGUUGUCCGGAAUUACUGGGUGUAAAGGGCGUGUAGGCGGGGAUGGAAGGCAGAUGGGAAAUUCCGGGGCUCAACCCCGGGACUGCAUCUGGAACUGUGUCUCUUGAGUGCUGGAGAGGAAAGCGGAAUGCCUAGUGUAGCGGGGAAAUGCGUAGAUAUAAGGACGAACACCAGUGGCGAAGACGGCUUUCUGGACAGGAACUGACCCUGAGGCGCGAAAGCGUGGGUAGCGAACAGGAUUAGAUACCCGAGUAGUCCACGCCGUAAACUGCGGGUACUAGGUUUAGGAGGUAUCGACCCCGUCUGUGCCGGAGUUAACACAAUAAGGAUCCCGCCUGGGGAGUACGAUCGCAAGGUUGAAACUCAAAGGAAUUGACGGGG